rnacentral:rRNA from 1 species
CCUAACACAUGCAAGUCGAACGGUAACAGGGAGAAGCUUAGCUUCUUUGCUGACGAGUGGCGGACGGGUGAGUAAUGUCUGGGAAACUGCCUGAUGGAGGGGGAUAACUACUGGAAACGGUAGCUAAUACCGCAUAACGUCGCAAGACCAAAGAGGGGGACCUUCGGGCCUCUUGCCAUCGGACGUGCCCAGAUGGGAUUAGCUAGUAGGUGGGGUAACGGCUCACCUAGGCGACGAUCCCUAGCUGGUCUGAGAGGAUGACCAGCCACACUGGAACUGAGACACGGUCCAGACUCCUACGGGAGGCAGCAGUGGGGAAUAUUGCACAAUGGGCGCAAGCCUGAUGCAGCCAUGCCGCGUGUAUGAAGAAGGCCUUCGGGUUGUA